AACAAGGUUUCCGUAGUGAACCUGCGGAAGGAUCAUUACUGAUUUGCUUAAUUGCACCACAUGUGUUUUUCUUUGAAACAAACUUGCUUUGGCGGUGGGCCCAGCUGCCGCCAGAGGUCUAAACUUACAACCAAUUUUUUAUCAACUUGUCACACCA
rnacentral:rRNA from 1 species